rnacentral:rRNA from 1 species
AUGAUCGAGAUUCGUGCACCGGAGCCUCACUACCCCAUGGAUGAUGUAAAGGAGAUGAAAGAAUGUGAUCUGCAUUAUCCCGUGGGGAACAUUUCCACGAAGGUAGCUAGCGACAGUGCUUUACCCUGUACACCUGGAGCACUCCACCACAACAACCCCAUUGCAUAUGGCUAUGCUCGUGUCACGGUGGAAGACAUAGUCCAAGGGUUUGAGGACCUGGAGAUUGACAAACCUACACCCGAAGGGGAGAGAAGACUUGGAGAUGUCAAGCACCAGUUCAUUCGAUGGAAAAGGAAGUACAUAGUGUUUCCAGGCGAGGCGCCAAGGCUAGCAAGUCCACCCCCCUCCGAUGGUGGUGGUGGUGGUGGUGGCGGUGGUGGCGGUGGUGGUGGUCGUGGUGGUUCACCUACACCUCCUUCACGCCAUUCGACGCCGUCCCCCGAUCCACAACCUCCGGCGGGUGCGACGCCCCCCAAUCCUCCUCUGGCGGGUACGACGCCCCCCAAUCCACCUCCGGCGAAGAAGCAGAAGCAGGCGGACAGCAAGGAAACCCGCUCCUGGACUAUUAACCCGGACCCUUAUGUACCUAAGACCACAAGGGUACCGGAGCCAUCACUGAAGCCUCUCCUCCCAAGGCCUUGGGAACUUAGUGAAGCUGAAACCAAAUUGGCCGCGUCUGCUGAUUAUGAGAAAUGGAAGGCGGAUAUGAAGGCGAUAAAAGAGCCUGAGCCCAAGCAAGUAUUCACGGAGAAGCAAAAGAAGUGGGCUAAGGAUUUUUUGACGACACCGUCCCAAGCCGAGCUGAAUAUGCCUGACGACUGUGGACAUGAACUUCGUAGGCAAGCAAAAAUAUUGAAGGAGGAGAAAGAAGAAAGUAAAAAAAGCGGGAAACAAGUUGACCAGCUCGGGAUGCAGAAGAAACAAUCGAUCCCCCCGCUCAUAGUGAAAGCCGGUCCGGAAGAGGACCCCGAUAUCAUAGCAGCUGCGGCAGCACUUGGAUUGACUGUAGCGAGUGCCAUGAAACAAGCGUCCGAGGUGGGUUUGACUCUUCGUGCCUUCUUAGGCCUUGAGGAUGCGCCAGUAUGUGAGAUAGCAUUACAAUAUGUGCGGAAUGGGCCUCUCGUCGAGCCUGCGCGGGAAAAGAGUCUACCACCGCAAAUGCGAAAUCUGCUACGUUGGUACAAGCAAUUCAUAACAUGGGCCGACAAAGAAUAUGUUUAUGCGGAUGUUACAGAUGAGCAUCACACCAAACGGUACUCUGUACAAGUUCAUAUGAGUGAAUUGUUCCAGCUGUUCAAUCUGCGCGACCUCGACAAAUCUAUGCUGAGUUGCUACGUU